UUUAGUUUACUGAUCUCUAUUUCCAUUAGUUUAUGCAUUCAAUUUUUUAUUAUUUUUAUGUUAAUAUAUUUGUUGUUGUUGAGGACAAGGAAGACGACAACGAAGAAGGUGAUGAAGCCAGAGAUGAUGUGAAAAGAAAAGGUUUGAGAUAUUUGCGUUUGAUACUAUUAAAUUUAAUACUAUUAAAUUUAAAAUUUAUAUGAUAGCCUCAUUGUACCUCAAGUAACGCACACUUUACACCAAUUUUGGGCACUAAAUGCAUAAUAAUUAUUGAGCAUUAGUUUAUGCAUUCAAUUUUUUAUUAUUUUUAUGUUAAUAUAUUUGUUGUUGUUGAGGACAAGGAAGACGACAACGAAGAAGGUGAUGAAGCCAGAGAUGAUGUGAAAAGAAAAGCUUGGACUUUUGGGCCUUGGAGAUGAUGGAGAUGAUGGGAGUGACGUGGAGAAUGCUAGGGUUGCUACUAAGUUUUAUUUUACUCCCUUUUGGAGAUAGUAAAAUAAGAUUUUCACACGAGAAUAUCCAAUGUUAUUUUGUCUAUCUAAUUUUUCUAUAAAUCUAAACAUAUAUGAAAGGUGAGUUUUGGCCAA